UUCAUUGUUAGUUGUAAUGGAGAAAGGACAGGUGAAAAAAGAAAGGGAAAGAAGUACAAAGCUAUACUUUCUUAACGAAUAAAUUUUGUAGUGCCAAAUAGAGUUUUGUGAAUGCGACAAAUCAACUUCAUGAGUCAUUUUUCAACAAAGUAUUACAAAGGGGUCCCAUAAAGGAUGAAUCAUCACUCCUGAAUUUGGGUAUAUUCAUGCUUUCAUGUAUUGUAUCAUCAGAUUGCCAAAUCAGCAGCACUUGAUGCUGGACCCCAUCUAGCGUGGCAUUCUUUUGUGAAAAUUGGUCAGUGAUGAUGUUAUACGUGGGCCCCAUGGUCCAUGUCCUGCAUGAGAUAGCACCACAAAUUUUAGGCUAUUGCUUUUGUGUUUCUUUUCUGCCAUUCAGAAUGACCAUUCUGUAAGGCAAAAAGAGAAUACAGAAAGUAACAUGGUUGUUAUAGGAAACAAAAGCAUCCCAAAUUUUGUUAAGAGUGAUAACUUUAACUCUUACACAAAUGAAAUUAGAAAAGAAAUAACUUUAACCAUUCGCCUAACAAAGUUUAUUUUUCACUCUUUCUUGAUGGCCUUGUACAUAUCAUGCCUUCAAAAUCAAAUUGUCCACUUAGCCUCAUCAUUUUGUCUUUGAGCUAAUUAAACGUAGAGGACAAAAUAGUGCAGUAGUGUAUUGGAUCCUUUCUUGUAGAGGAUAUGAUCAUCUUAAAGUGGGAAUAGUACAAGAAAAGAAAAGCACAAAAGAAGGAUCACUACAAAUGGUUACAAGGCUCAUUAGUUAUAUGAGUUUAAUAGACAUACAUAUUAUUAAUUAAAAAAAAUUAUACCGCCAACCAAUCAAAAAUAAAUAAUUAUUUAUAUGACUUAACUUAUAAUAUGUGGUGAUUAGUAUGAUUACUUCUAGUUAAAUGAUAGAGUAAAAAACUAUUUAUACUAUGUCAUAAUAUUAUUUGGUUAGUUAUAUUUUCCUUUGCUUGUGUUUCUUUAUUAUUUUUUUUCUAAGAGGACUAUAUUAUAUUCUAUUAAUUAAGAAUGGGAGAGGAAAAAAUUCAGGUAAUUCCAUAUUCAUAUGUAAUUAAUGUGAAAACCUGUGUUGAAUGUAGGAGUUCAAACAGCAAUGACAGAGUUUAGCACAGGGAAGGUUCUUGUGACAGGAAUCAUGGAUGCAAACAAACUAGUAGAUUAUGUAUAUAGACGCACCAAAAAGCAAGCUAAGAUAGUUCCUCAGCCAGAACCAGAACCAGAAAAGAAAGAAGAGAAACCUGCAGAAGAAGAGACUAAACCUGAAGAGGAGAAGCCACCAGAGGAAGCAAAGAAAGAAGAGGGUGGUGAGAACAAAGAAGAAAAGGGUGGUGAAGAAAGCAAAGAAGAAGCCAAAAAAGAAGAGAAUAAUGUGGUGGUGGUGCCUUACAAUAACAUUGAUGAUGAAGGCUUAAAGAGGAUGAU
rnacentral:lncRNA from 1 species